rnacentral:rRNA from 1 species
UCCCUUAGUAGCGGCGAGCGAACAGGGAAGAGCCCAGCGCCGAAUUCCGCGUCUCAAAGGGCGUUUGGAACAUGUGGCGUUUAGGAGGAAUCUCUCCGAGGGCAGACGGUGUCGCAAGUCCCCCUGAACGGGGCUGUGAUCCAGAGCGGGUGCGAGGCCCAUAGCUGGUACCGUCUCCUUUGGGUGUCCCCUCCUUGGAGUCGGGUUGCUUGGGAGUGCAGCCCUAAUUGGGUGGUAAACUCCACCUAAGGCUAAAUACGUCCGUGAGACCGAUAGCAAACAAGUACCGUGAGGGAAAGUUGCAAAGAACUUUGAAGAGAGAGUUCAAGAGUACGUGAAACCGCUCAGAGGCAAACGGGUGGGCCCACGAAAGCCGAAGGCGGGGGGAUUCAGUCGAGAGGACGGUGGGGCAGGACWGGCUGGUUGGACGGACCGUGCCAGGCCGGGUCAGUUCCCGAGAUCUGCCGCCUUUCGACGCAUUUCCCCCUGCUUAGUAGGACGCCGCAACCGGUUGGUGCUGCAGCCAUAAGGGAGAGUAAAUGGAAGGUAGCCAGUGAGUUCUUCUUCGGAGGCGCAAGCUGGUCCUAAGCCGACUCUCCUGGUGCUUGUGGCCCGACCGUGGUCGUGAGUCCCUCAACGGGAUGUCGCCGAGCCCUCUGACUGGAGCGGGAGAAGUGGCAGGCUGCUUUCCGCGGAAAAAAUCGAUCGCUUCACGCGUGCAGUGGGCGAUCUCCGGAGGUAGCUGCUGGUGCGUUUUUCUCCUGCGCUGGGCACAGGCAGUUGGCGGCGAGUAGGUCGGUCACCCACCCGACCCGUCUUGAAACACGGACCAAGGAGUCUAACAUGUGCGCGAGUCAUUGGGUCUUGAACAAGCCCAAAGGCGCAAUGAAAGUGAAGACCAGCACUGAAGCUGGUGGAGUUGGGAAACUGUGUCAYUGAAGAUGCAGUUGCACCAACGGCCCGUCCCGUCCGCAUCGUCGGUGGGGCGGAGCGAGAGCGUACACGUUGGGACCCGAAAGAUGGUGAACUAUGCCUGGGCAGGACGAAGCCAGAGGAAACUCUGGUGGAGGUCCG